GGGAGAUAAUUGCUGCAGAUGGUCGGCAUUCUGGUGCUGUAUGCAAUAAAUGUAUGGAACUAAAAGAGGUGUGCAUUUUACAGCUAUUGAAAAUGAUUGAAUUCUUGGAUGAUUAACAUCACAAAUGGCUACAUUGGGAGAUUUCCUGUGACAAAUGAUUUGAAAGGGAAGUGGUAAUGUGAAUUAAUCAACUGAUAUAAGUGUGUAAU
rnacentral:misc_RNA from 1 species